rnacentral:rRNA from 1 species
GACGAACGCUGGCGGCAUGCCUAAUACAUGCAAGUCGAGCGAACAGAUGAAGUGCUUGCACUUCUGACGUUAGCGGCGAACGGGUGAGUAACACGUAAGGAAUCUACCUAUAAGCGGGGGAUAACAUUCGGAAACGGGUGCUAAUACCGCAUAAUAUCUUCUUCCGCAUGGAAGAAGAUUGAAAGACGGCUCUGCUGUCACUUAUAGAUGACCUUGCGGUGCAUUAGUUAGUUGGUGGGGUAACGGCCUACCAAGACGAUGAUGCAUAGCCGGCCUGAGGGGGUGAUCGGCCACAUUGGGACUGAGACACGGCCCAAACUCCUACGGGAGGCAGCAGUAGGGAAUCUUCCGCAAUGGGCGAGAGCCUGACGGAGCAAUGCCGCGUGAGUGAAGAAGGCCUUCGGGUCGUAAAACUCUGUUAUAAGAGAAGAACAAAUUGUAGAGUAACUGCUACAGUCUUGACGGUAUCUUAUCAGAAAGCCACGGCUAACUACGUGCCAGCCGCCGCAGUAA